UACAUGUGGGGCAAGCGUUGUUCGGAAUUACUGGGCAUAAAGGGUGCGUAGGCGGCUUGUUAAGUCAGGGGUGAAAGUUUUCGGCCCAACCGGAAAAUGGCCUUUGAUACUGGCGAGCUCGAGUGCGUGAGGGGUGACUGGAACGAGCAGUGUAGCGGUGAAAUGCGUAGAUAUUGCUCGGAAGGCCAACGGCGAAGGCAGGUCACUGGUACGCAACUGACGCUGAGGCACGAAAGCGUGGGGAGCAAACGGG
rnacentral:rRNA from 1 species